AGCCUGAUGACGAGUCCAAAAUAGGACGAAAUGUGCCUUAUCCUGGAU
rnacentral:hammerhead_ribozyme from 1 species